CCUACGGGAGGCUGCAGUAGGGAAUCUUCGGCAAUGGACGAAAGUCUGACCGAGCAACGCCGCGUGAGUGAAGAAGGAUUUCGGAUCGUAAAGCUCUGUUGGUAGAGAAGAACGUUGGUGAGAGUGGAAAGCUCAUCGAGUGACGGUAACUACCCAGAAAGGUACGGCUAACUACGUGCCAGCAGCCGCGGUAAUACGUAGGUCCCGAGAGUUGGCCGGAUUUAUUGGGCGUAAAGCGGGCGCAGGUGGUUUAUUAAGUCUGGGGUAAAAGGCAGGGGCUCAACCAUUGUAUGCAUUGGAAACUGGUAGACUUGAGUGCAGGAGAGGAGAGUGGAAUUCCAUGUGUAGCGGUGAAAUGCGUAGAUAUAUGGAGGAACACCGGUGGCGAAGGCGGCUCUCUGGCCUGUAACUGACACUGAGGCUCGAAAGCGUGGGGAGCAAACAGGAUUAGAUACCCUUGUAGUC
rnacentral:rRNA from 1 species